GACGAACGCUGGCGGCGUGCCUAAUACAUGCAAGUAGAACGCUGAAGGAGGAGCUUGCUCUUCUGGACGAGUUGCGAACGGGUGAGUAACGCGUAGGUAACCUGCCUGGUAGCGGGGGAUAACUAUUGGAAACGAUAGCUAAUACCGCAUACAGUAGAUGUUGCAUGACAUUUGCUUAAAAGGUGCAAUUGCACCACUACCAGAUGGACCUGCGUUGUAUUAGCUAGUUGGUGGGGUAACGGCUCACCAAGGCGACGAUACAUAGCCGACCUGAGAGGGUGAUCGGCCACACUGGGACUGAGACACGGCCCAGACUCCUACGGGAGGCAGCAGUAGGGAAUCUUCGGCAAUGGACGGAAGUCUGACCGAGCAACGCCGCGUGAGGGAAGAAGGUUGUCGGAUCGUAAAGCUCUGUUGUAAGAGAAGAACGAGUGUGAGAGUGGAAAGUUCACACUGUGACGGUAUCUGACCAGAAAGGGACGGCUAACUACGUG
rnacentral:rRNA from 1 species